rfam:Spirochaeta sp. LTC14_002_19_P3 _150, whole genome shotgun sequence.
CCUGGUGACUAUGGCGGCGGGGCAACACCCGUUCCCAUUCCGAACACGGCAGUUAAGCCCGCCAGCGCCGAUGGUACUGCACUUGAUGUGGGAGAGUAGGCCGUUGCCAGGU